CAGGGAGGAAUCAAUGACGUGUACCUGAAGAAUAAGCAUCGGCUAACUCCGUGCCAGCAGCCGCGGUAAGACGGGGGAUGCAAGUGUUAUCCGGAAUCACUGGGCGUAAAGCGUCUGUAGGUGGUCCAAUAAGUCAACUGUUAAAUCUUGAGGCUCAACCUCAAAAUCGCAGUCGAAACUAUUAGACUAGAGUAUAGUAGGGGUAAAGGGAAUUUCCAGUGGAGCGGUGAAAUGCGUAGAGAUUGGAAAGAACACCGAUGGCGAAGGCACUUUACUGGGCUAUUACUAACACUCAGAGACGAAAGCUAGGGUAGCAAAUGGGAUUAGAUACCCCAGUAGUCCUAGCCGUAAAC
rnacentral:rRNA from 1 species